CAGUCGCCACGGGAAUACGUAGGGUGCGAGCGUUAAUCGGAAUUACUGGGCGUAAAGCGUGCGCAGGCGGUUUUGUAAGACAGGCGUGAAAUCCCCGGGCUCAACCUGGGAAUGGCGCUUGUGACUGCAAAGCUAGAGUGCGGCAGAGGGGGAUGGAAUUCCGCGUGUAGCAGUGAAAUGCGUAGAUAUGCGGAGGAACACCGAUGGCGAAGGCAAUCCCCUGGGCCUGCACUGACGCUCAUGCACGAAAGCGUGGGGAGCAAACAGGAUUAGAUACCCCGGUAGUCCCUGUCUCUUAUAC
rnacentral:rRNA from 1 species